rnacentral:rRNA from 1 species
UACAGAGGUCUCAAGCGUUGUUCGGAUUCAUUGGGCGUAAAGGGUGUGUAGGUGGCGCGCUAAGUCGGGUGUGAAAUUUCGGAGCUUAACUCCGAAACUGCAUUCGAUACUGGCGUGCUUGAGGACUGGAGAGGAGACUGGAAUUCAUGGUGUAGCAGUGAAAUGCGUAGAGAUCAUGAGGAAGACCAGUGGCGAAGGCGGGUCUCUGGACAGUUCCUGACACUCG